UACGUAGGGACCAAGCGUUGUUCGGAUUUACUGGGCGUAAAGGGCGCGUAGGCGGUGUUGUAAGUCACUUGUGAAAUCUCUGAGCUUAACUCAGAACGGCCAAGUGAUACUGCAGCACUAGAGUGCAGAAGGGGCAAUCGGAAUUCUUGGUGUAGCGGUGAAAUGCGUAGAUAUCAAGAGGAACACCUGAGGUGAAGACGGUUUGCUGGGCUGACACUGACGCUGAGGCGCGAAAGCUAGGGGAGCAAACGGG
rnacentral:rRNA from 1 species